rnacentral:rRNA from 1 species
UACAUGUGGGGCAAGCGUUGUUCGGAAUUACUGGGCGUAAAGCGUGCGCAGGCGGUUUUGUAAGUCUGUCGUGAAAUCCCCGGGCUCAACCUGGGAAUUGCGAUGGAGACUGCAAGGCUAGAAUCUGGCAGAGGGGGGUAGAAUUCCACGUGUAGCAGUGAAAUGCGUAGAGAUGUGGAGGAACACCGAUGGCGAAGGCAGCCCCCUGGGUCAAGAUUGACGCUCAUGCACGAAAGCGUGGGGAGCAAACAGG